CCUACGGGAGGCAGCAGUGGGGAAUAUUGCGCAAUGGGCGAAAGCCUGACGCAGCGACGCCGCGUGAGGGAUGAAGGUCUUCGGAUCGUAAACCUCUGUCAGCAGGGAAGAACGGUCACUGUGCUAAUCAGCAGUGAAUUGACGGUACCUGCAAAGGAAGCACCGGCUAACUCCGUGCCAGCAGCCGCGGUAAUACGGAGGGUGCGAGCGUUAAUCGGAAUUAAUGUGCGUAAAGGGUUAGUAGGCGGCACGGAAAGCCUGGUGUUAAAGGGAGCGGCUCAACUUCUGUACGGCCAUGGAUACUUGCGAGCUAGAAUGCGGUAGAGGUAAAGGGAAGUCCUGGUGUAGCGGGGAAAUGCUUAGAUAGCAGGAGGAACAUCGGUGGCGUAAGCGCUUUACUGGGCCGUAAUUGACGCUGAGGAACGAAAGCCAGGGUAGCAAAUGGGAUUAGAUACCCCAGUAGUC
rnacentral:rRNA from 1 species